GAAUUCAACAGCAAAUGAACGAAAUUCUUUAACAUGUACACCAAAAUCGCUUUAGCAGCUUUACUUGUAUGAGCUCUGUGCAGCAGAGCCUACGGUAAUUUGAUAUACUGUGAUAAUCUCAAGGAACCUGGUGAGCUCGUUACUUGGAUUUAUGAAAAUGUUCCAGAAGGUACUAACUUAACAGUAAGAGUACCUGAAUAUGAAGAAACAGAAACACCAGUUUCAUGUAUCAUCUUCAAAUCCUCUGCCCUUAAUGUUGAAAUAACAGACGGAGGUCUUGGUAAGAACUUUGUCGAAUUGUACAUCAGUCCAGUAGAGAUGGUCGAGGACAAUCAACUCCAUCGUCGUGACGACGAUCAUCACCAUCAUGACGAUGAUCAUCAUCAUCACGACGACGACGAUGUUGAUGAUAAAAUAUACUAUGAAUUAAGCGUUUACAGACAAAAAGAUCAGUGAAAUAAUGCAUUAAUUGAAAUGUAAUACGUUUUAUGAUAAAUAAAUAAUAUUUGUUGUUA